rnacentral:tRNA from 1 species
UCGAUAGUAGCUCAGUUUGUAGAGCUCCAUCCUUCCAAGCUGGUUUGCGCGAGUUCGAGCCUCGUCUGUCGCUCUA